UGCUUGCUGUGGUGUGCUGUGGUGUGCUUGCUGUGGUGUGCUUGCUGUGGUGUGCUGUAUUGUGGUGCCACAGCAAGCACACCACAGCAAGCACACCACAGCACACCAC
rnacentral:pre_miRNA from 1 species